rnacentral:rRNA from 4 species
GUCUUGGUGAUUUGAGCGUGGUGGAACUACCUAAUUCCAUUCCGAACUUAGAAGUAAAACGCCACAGCGCUGACGAUAGUUGCCAGGCAACUGGCCGCGAAAAUAAGUCAUCGCCAAGACU